rnacentral:rRNA from 1 species
AUUGAACGCUGGCGGCAUGCCUUACACAUGCAAGUCGAACGGCAGCACGGGAGCAAUCCUGGUGGCGAGUGGCGAACGGGUGAGUAAUGUAUCGGAACGUGCCCAGUCGUGGGGGAUAACGUAGCGAAAGCUACGCUAAUACCGCAUACGAUCUGUGGAUUAAAGCGGGGGACCGUAAGGCCUCGCGCGAUUGGAGCGGCCGAUAUCAGAUUAGGUAGUCGGUGGGGUAAAGGCCUACCAAGCCGACGAUCUGUAGCUGGUCUGAGAGGACGACCAGCCACACUGGGACUGAGACACGGCCCAGACUCCUACGGGGGGCAGCAGUGGGGAAUUUUGGACAAUGGGCGCAAGCCUGAUCCAGCAAUGCCGCGUGCAGGAUGAAGGCCUUCGGGUUGUAAACUGCUUUUGUACGGAGCGAAAAGGCUCUCUCUAAUACAGGGGGCUCAUGACGGUACCGUAAGAAUAAGCACCGGCUAACUACGUGCCAGCCGCCGCAGUAACAC